rnacentral:rRNA from 1 species
UGUGGGGUGACGGCGUGCCUAUCGAAAAAUGAGUCUGCGAGUCAGUGGCGGGUGGCGAGCAUAAGCCGUGUGGCGUAUGCGUAGCGAAAGCGAGUCCGAAUAGGGCGUUUCUAGUCGCUUGUCCUGGACCCGAAGCGGGAUGAUCUAGCCCUGGGCAGGUUGAAGCGCGGGUAAGACCGCGUGGAGGACCGAACCCACCUGGGUUGAAAACCGGGGGGAUGACCUGGGGCUAGGGGUGAAAGGCCAAUCAAAUUCCGUGAUAGCUGGUUCUCUCCGAAAUGCAUUUAGGUGCAGCGUCGGUUGAUUGCGUCGCGGGGGUAGAGCUACCGGAUGCUUGCGGGCCCUUGUUGGGUACCAACAGCAGCCGAACUCCGAAUACCGUUGACGUGUAUUCCGGCAGUGAGUCGGCGGGGGAUAAGCUCCGUCGUCGAGAGGGAGACAGCCCAGACCGUCGUCUAAGGUCCCGAAGCGUGUGCUAAGUGGGAAAGGAUGUGGAGUCGCAUAGACAGCCAGGAGGUUGGCUCAGAAGCAGCCAUCCUUGAAAGAGUGCGUAACAGCUCACUGGUCUAGUGGUUCCGCGCCGACAAUGUAGCGGGGCUCAAGCACACCACCGAAGACGCGGCAGCAAUCUUCAUGGUUGCUGGGUAGGAGAGCGUCCUGCAUGGGGCGAAGCGGCGGUGGAAACCGGCCGUGGACCGUGUGGGAGUGAGAAUGCAGACAUGAGUAGCGAGAGACGGGUGAGGAUCCCGUCCGCUGGAUGACCAAGGGUUCCGGGGCCACGUUCGUCGUCCCCGGGUGAGUCGGGUCCUAAGGCGAGGCCGACAGGCGUAGUCGAAUGGAUGAACGGGUGGAUAUUCCCGUACCGACCAUGGACCGGCAAAACCGAGACGGUGAGUACUAACCUCCGCCUCGUGGUGGUUCCUUCCUUCGGGUUGGUAUCGCCGCGUGGUGUUGGGAGCGUAGCCGCAGUAGGUCAGCGCAGGGGUGACACGGAAUGGGAGCCGGCCGCGGAGGUGGUUUUCCGUGGUCAAGCACGCAGCCAGUCAUGUAGGCAAAUCCGCAUGGCGUGCAUGGCGAGGUGUGAUGAUGGGAGCCGUAUGGUUCGAUAUCCGGUUGUCCAGGCCGUCGAGAAAAGCCUCGGCGUGAGGGCCAUGGCCGCCCGUACCCCAAACCGACACUGGUGGUCAGGUAGAGAAUACCAAGGCGAUCGAGCGAAUCCUGGUCAAGGAACUCGGCAAAUCACUCCCGUGCCUUCGGUAUAAGGGAGACCCACUGGGGUGAACGGCCUCGCGCCGGGAGCUUUGGUGGGUGGCACAGACCAGGGGGUAGCGACUGUUUACCAAAAACACAGGUGCAUGCGAAGGCGAAAGCCGCUGUAUAUGCACUGACGCCUGCCCGGUGCCGGAAGGUUAAGAGGAUCCGUCAAUCCCUUCGGGGACGAAGCGGUGAAUUCAAGCCCCGGUAAACGGCGGUGGUAACUAUAACCAUCCUAAGGUAGCGAAAUUCCUUGUCGGGUAAGUUCCGACCUGCACGAAUGGCGUAA